rnacentral:rRNA from 1 species
ACGGGAGCUUGCUCCCUUAGGUCAGCGGCGGACGGGUGAGUAACACGUGGGUAACCUGCCUGUAAGACUGGGAUAACUCCGGGAAACCGGGGCUAAUACCGGAUGCUUGAUUGAACCGCAUGGUUCAAUCAUAAAAGGUGGCUUUUAGCUACCACUUGCAGAUGGACCCGCGGCGCAUUAGCUAGUUGGUGAGGUAACGGCUCACCAAGGCGACGAUGCGUAGCCGACCUGAGAGGGUGAUCGGCCACACUGGGACUGAGACACGGCCCAGACUCCUACGGGAGGCAGCAGUAGGGAAUCUUCCGCAAUGGACGAAAGUCUGACGGAGCAACGCCGCGUGAGUGAUGAAGGUUUUCGGAUCGUAAAACUCUGUUGUAAGGGAAGAACAAGUACCGUUCGAAUAGGGCGGUACCUUGACGGUACCUAACCAGAAAGCCACGGCUAACUACGUGCCAGCAGCCGCGGUAAUACGUAGGUGGCAAGCGUUGUCCGGAAUUAUUGGGCGUAAAGCGCGCGCAGGCGGUUUCUUAAGUCUGAUGUGAAAGCCCCCGGCUCAACCGGGGAGGGUCAUUGGAAACUGGGGAACUUGAGUGCAGAAGAGGAGAGUGGAAUUCCACGUGUAGCGGUGAAAUGCGUAGAGAUGUGGAGGAACACCAGUGGCGAAGGCGACUCUCUGGUCUGUAACUGACGCU